CCCUUAGAUGUUCUGGGCCGCACGCGCGCUACACUGACGGAGGCAGCGAGCAUGUCCUUCGCCGAGAGGUGUGGGGAAUCUUGUGAGUCUCCGUCGUGCUGGGGAUAGAUGGUUGCAAUUGUCGAUCUUGAACGAGGAAUUCCUAGUAAGCGCGAGUCAUCAGCUCGCGCUGAUUACGUCCCUGCCCUUUGUACACACCGCCCGUCGCUGCCCGGAACUGAGCCGUUUCGAGAAGACUGAGGAUUGCUGACUUGAGGCCUUCACGGGCUUCUAGUCGGUGAAAAUCAAUUUAAUCGCAGCGGCUUGAACCGGGCAAAAGUCGUAACA
rnacentral:rRNA from 1 species